rnacentral:rRNA from 1 species
ACUCCGGGAAACCGGGGCUAAUACCGGAUAACAUUUUGAACCGCAUGGUUCGAAAUUGAAAGGCGGCUUCGGCUGUCACUUAUGGAUGGACCCGCGUCGCAUUAGCUAGUUGGUGAGGUAACGGCUCACCAAGGCAACGAUGCGUAGCCGACCUGAGAGGGUGAUCGGCCACACUGGGACUGAGACACGGCCCAGACUCCUACGGGAGGCAGCAGUAGGGAAU